UACGUAGGGUGCGAGCGUUAAUCGGAAUUACUGGGCGUAAAGCGUGCGCAGGCGGUUUUGCAAGCCGGAUGUGAAUCCCCGGGCUUAACCUGGGAAUGGCAUUUGGGACUGCAAGGCUGGAGUGCGGCAGAGGAGACUGGAAUUCCUGGUGUAGCAGUGAAAUGCGUAGAUAUCAGGAGGAACACCGAUGGCGAAGGCAGGUCUCUGGGCUGACACUGACGCUCAUGCACGAAAGCGUGGGGAGCGAA
rnacentral:rRNA from 1 species